UUGUCACGUGACAAAGCCAGACAUGGCGGCCGCCCGGAGAUGGCUGGUUUGUUUGCGCUCAGGGAUAUGGAGCCUCUUAUUUUACAGCGUUUAUUCUCAUUUAAAGCUCGUUUUGGCGGAGGAGGUGGAGAGCUGCGACAACUUAAAACUCGGGCAGUAUCUCUGUAAAGAUCCAAAGAUAGAUGAAGCCACGCAGGAGCCGGAGAACUGCAGGGACACGACAGCGUGGGUUGAGUGCCUCCCAGCUCCAAACAUCAGCUGUCGUCUCUCCAACGGGACGGAGUUCAGGUUCAGCGGGGAGGAAGUUGGCUUCAACAAAACCAUCCCCUGCCGAAAUGUGAGUGGUUAUUCCUACAAAGUAGCUGUGGCUUUAUCUCUGUUUCUGGGCUGGCUGGGAGCAGACCGCUUCUACCUGGGAUAUCCUGCAUUAGGCCUGUUGAAAUUCUGUACUGUUGGCUUCUGUGGGAUCGGCACCCUGAUUGACUUCAUACUGAUCGCUAUGCAGAUUGUCGGUCCAGCAGACGGAUCACACUACAUCGUGGAUUAUUAUGGCGCCCGGCUGACCCGUCUGUCCAUCACCAACCAGACCUACAGGAAGCCACACCUGUCCCUGUGAACACACCCGGACACGCCCACACGCUGUCCGGAACGCUGUAAGAUCAGAAAGACGUCUGAGUAUCAGACCUUUACGGUGCUGUGAGCAGUGAAAUGAGUUGUGACUCUGCACUGAUUAUUAAAAAGUGGGGGGAAGAUGUUGGAUGUGAAUCAAGACUGAGAAAAGCGGAGUCACAGCAGAUGUGUGUCUGCUCAGGAUGGUUGGUCAGGCUUCAGGGAUCUGAUCCACGUCUUCUGGAACAACAUCAGUAAACAUGGCAGAAAUGCGUUUGUUACCGUGAGACAGCAGUGAAAAAACGAAACACAGUACAGAAGAAGUAACGUAAUGUUAACGGCAGUUAGACUCUGUCUGUCUGUCUGUCUGUCUGUCUGUCUGUCACGGACUGCUGGCUGGCAGUGGGACGUUUCUGUCUAAUCACCACCAAAAUUAAAACUGUGAAUACAAAAACAAGCCAAAAAGCUCCAACUGAAGUGAGUACAAAUGAGAGAAGAUUUUGUGCAGAAAAGUCUGAGUUUUGGAAUUGAAGGUCUCACACACACACACACACACACACACACACACACACACACACACACAC